ACGAACGCUGGCGGCAUGCUUAAUACAUGCAAGUCGAGCGGACUUGAAGAGAAGCUUGCUUCUUUGAUGGUUAGCGGCGGACGGGUGAGUAACACGUAGGCAACCUGCCCUCAAGUUUGGGACAACUACCGGAAACGGUAGCUAAUACCGAAUAAUUGUUUUCUUCGCCUGAAGGAAACUGGAAAGACGGAGCAAUCUGUCACUUGGGGAUGGGCCUGCGGCGCAUUAGCUAGUUGGUGAGGUAACGGCUCACCAAGGCGACGAUGCGUAGCCG
rnacentral:rRNA from 1 species